UAAUCCCAAACCUUUAAAAUAGAAGCUUCAAGCUUACAAACAGUAUAACAUGAGCCUUUCACGUGCUAUCCCUUUUCUCCUUUCUUUUUUUUCUUCUGAUCGAUUUGCUGGAUUGUUUUCCCUAAUUCAAUUUCUAUCCUAAGAUUCUCUAUCCUAGGGUUUACCAUCUCUCAGUAAUGGGGGAGAAGGAUGCGAUUUUGAAAAUAUGGUUUAUGAUGGGUAUUUCUGCAUAUUGUACUGUCAUGGCAAAGAAAAGAAAAAUGCAAUUGAGAUGUUGAGACAUGGAAUGGUGGAUGAGGCGUAGGCAAUUACCAUCCACUCUGAGACGUAGAGUUAGUCACUUUGAACGUUAUAGAGUUGGUUGACUACAAGAGGAGUUGAUGAGAUGGAGUUAAUAAAAGGCUUGCCUGAGGGGCUUCAACACUUCCUGUAACUAAUAAAAUAAAUCUAUUCAUGUCUAGCUUUCAGAUGAUUACUUUAACUUUGUAACUUGUAGGUGAGAUGCUCAUUGUAAUAUGUUAAUGUCAAAACUUCUUGUAACUAAUAAAAUAAAUCUAUUCAUGUCUA